rnacentral:rRNA from 1 species
GGACGGGUGAGUAAUGUCUGGGAAACUGCCUGAUGGAGGGGGAGUAACUACUGGAAACGGUAGCUAAUACCGCAUAACGUCGCAAGACCAAAGAGGGGGACCUUCGGGCCUCUUGCCAUCAGAUGUGCCCAGAUGGGAUUAGCUAGUAGGUGGGGUAACGGCUCACCUAGGCGACGAUCCCUAGCUGGUCUGAGAGGAUGACCAGCCACACUGGAACUGAGACACGGUCCAGACUCCUACGGGAGGCAGCAUG